rnacentral:lncRNA from 13 species
CUCCUGUUCCAGCAGAUAAUUUAUGACUUCCACAUCUUGGCGUUUCAUUAAAACCCAAAGCAUUUGACAAACUGUAUUUUCAGAAAGUUUUUUCCGUGAGUUGGUUUCUAGCAGGAGGAAUUUAUGAUGAGCUGACUUAAUCCUUGCUUUUUGGAGGCGUCUAAAAAAAGUUCUUUCUAUAAACAGCUGAAUUGCGUGAGGAGAACGGCAGACCAAGCAAUGGCUAGGACGUCUUUGUGAAAAAGCUCACCCCAUGCCGUUGUAAAGGCCCCGUGCGCUGCCCAGCUUUGGCGUCUACCUCCUGAGCUAAUUGUGCUGUCUGGAGGUUGGCAGGCUUCCAGCCUUACCUGGACCAGUUUCGCUCCCAAACCCAGGUUGCCUGUGUAUUCACUUAUCACAACAAACCACUGUGAAAUCAUUCACAGACUUUGGAAAUCACAUACGUAAGAUCUGCUGCCUGCGUGCUUGCCUGGAAGCCGACAUCAAGCCCAUUUGGCCAGAAAUACCUCUAGAGGUGGAGCUGGUCCAGAAGACUGGACCCCCAGAGUGCUAUGGAAUGUCUAUGGGAACAAAGGAUGAUCUAAUGGACAACAGAGAAACACGAUGAUCUGGGUCAUGAAACACAAGGAAAGAUGGAGGAACUGUCACAGACCAGGGGAGAUGACAACUAAGUGCAAUAUGGUGUCCUGGAUGGAAUCCUGGAACAGGAAAGAGACAACUUUGGAAAGAUCAGAGAAAUCCCAACAGAACUAUAGGAAUCUGAACUGUGCAAAAGAAUUAUCACUCACUGCAAGUCCCAGAGUGAACACUUUCUAUGAGAUACUCCAACAGCACAAUGUGUCAUGGAGCCAGGGGGACUGGGUUCGAAUCCCUGUUCUGCAGCAUAGCAGUUAUCUUUGGAUGCAUCACGUAACCUGUCUGACCUCCUGUUUCCUUUGGGAGAAUAAUAUCCACCUCACACAGUUGUGAGGUUUCAUGGGGCAGUGCUAGCAUACAUGCCAGCACCUGACACUUAGUAGGUGCUGCUGGAACUUAGGUUUCUGUUUUUCUCUCCUCUUUCCUCUCCAAAGAGAACAAGGUGUCUCUGCCAGGAUUAACAGAUCAAAACAACCUUUCUGGAAGUUUAGUUCAAGGGCAGAUCCUUUAGGGGAACAUGAACAGCUUUAUAAAUUGCCUUCAAAAGUAGCACCAAAUCCUUCAGUCAGUUUUAAAGGAACUGUUUACCACUGCAUAUGGCAGUCAUUAUUUGGAAUAAUAAACCCUCUGAGAAUCUGAACA